ACUAUUUUGGCAGAUAAAUGUAAUGAUUUUAGAGUUCAUAAAUAUAUGAUUUAAUUAUAUAGAUAGUA
rnacentral:tRNA from 1 species